rnacentral:misc_RNA from 1 species
GAUGAAGAACGCAGCGAAAUGCGAUACUUGGUGUGAAUUGCAGAAUCCCGUGAACCAUCGAGUCUUUGAACGCAAGUUGCGCCCGAAGCCAUCAGGUUGAGGGCACGUCUGCCUGGGCGUCACAUAUCGUUGCCCAAUGCCUAUUGCAGUGCAAUAGGAAUUUCUAGGGCGAAUGAUGGCUUCCCGUGAGCGUUGUUGCCUCGCGGUUGGUUGAAAAUCGAGUCCUUGGUAGGGUGUGCCAUGGUAGAUGGUGGUCGAGUUAGAACGAUACCGAUCAUGUGCAUGCUCCCCAAAAUAUGGCCUCUAUGACCCACACGCCUCUUUUGACGCUCAUGACGAGACCUCAGGUCAGGCGGGGCUACCCGCUGAAUUUAAGCAUAUCAAUAAGCGGAGGA